UCGAGCGCCGCAGCCAGGCGAAAUGGCUCCCGGCGGGGCCGUCUGCGCAUGCCCAGUCAUGACGGUCGUCGGCGCGGACCCAAGCGUGGCGGCGCUGCAGUCUGGGCAGUGGGUUGGUUCCUCCUCGGUCCUCUGUCGAGUGGCGGCAGGGCCUAGCCACCUGGUGGGGGUGACCUUCGGACGUGCGACCCGCUCGGAGAAGGGAGGGAACUGUGGCCCGGAACAAAACAGUGGCAGACCCGACAUCCCCUCCAGCGCGAUCUUUCCCUCAGCUGCCUGCGGGAGGAAGGGCCUUUCUGUUUCAAAGGGCUAAAGAUGGGGCGCGGUUCCUCCACGGGGCGGCUGCCGGGUGAACGGAACGGGGAUGGAGGCGCUGCCAGAAGAGCCCGAGCUCGAGCCCGCCCUGCCCUCGGCCGCCCCGCCGUGCCGCUCCGCAGGAGCCCCGCUCCCCUCCUGCUCGCUCCGGACAACCCCAGUCCGGCCUGACCUCGCCCCUCGCGGUCAGGCGCUCCAGCCAGAGCGACUCCAGCUCGAACAGCGCUGGGUAAACUGAGGCUGAACCCCGCUGGCUGCAUCCCCAGGAGUCGGGCUUUUACGGUCACGGGAACAGGUUAAUAAACGUUUACGCAGCAGACCCGGGACUUAGGUCCCGAUGUCCGGGUAUCUUAAGUACAAGAAGCAUUCUUAGUUGAAGUUUCGCUUUAAAGAUAAUGAUAUAGAUGCUUGCGGAGGACAGGCGUUACGCAAAGAUUAGCAAUCCUUUGACGAGCCCAGAUAGUACAGCACGUCUCCCCCGUGAUGUUUUUUGGCUUUUAUCUUACAUAUAAACAAGCGUACCCAGGUGGACGCCUUCCUCCUCGUGCUUUUGGGAACACCCUGCUCUAUGGAGUAGCCAUUAUUUUAUUCCUUCACUGCCUUAAUAAACUUGCUUUCACUUUA
rnacentral:antisense_RNA from 1 species